CGCCUCUUGCAUUACAAAAUGAAUAAGAGGUCCCGCCUGCCCUGUGACCAUGUGUUUAACGGCCGCGGUAUUUUGACCGUGCAAAGGUAGCGCAAUCACUUGUCUUUUAAAUAAAGACCUGUAUGAAUGGCAUAACGAGGGCUAAACUGUCUCCUUACCCCAGUUAAUGAAAUUGAUCUUUCCGUGCAGAAGCGGGAAUAAACCCAUAAGACGAGAAGACCCUGUGGAGCUUUAGAUGAUAAAUGAAUUUAUUUAAAAAUCAGUGCCGAAUAAAAGGCAGUAAAACAAUAACCUCAUUUUAAAUCUUUAGUUGGGGCGACCGCGGAGUAAUACAAAACCUCCGUGAGGAUUGAGGUAAAACCUUAUACCUAAGAAUGUCAUUUCUAAGUGUCAGAAUAUUUGACCCACAGAUCCGGCAAUAGCCGAUUAACGAACCUAGUUACCCCAGGGAUAACAGCGCAAUCCUCUUUGAGAGUCCCUAUCGACAAGGGGGUUUACGACCUCGAUGUUGGAUCAGGACAUCCUAAUGGUGUAGCCGCUAUUAAGGGUUCGUUUGUUCAACGAUUAAAGUCCU
rnacentral:rRNA from 1 species